GAACAUAUCUGUAAGGCAGAUGAUACUAUUUCUACAGUCUUUGUUAAGCUUGUGAAUUCAGUAUCACAGAUGAGGAUGCUAAAGGUCAUGAAGGUUAGAGGGUAAGUGACUUGCUCAGGGUCAUGUGGCAUGCGUGUGACAGAGUCAGGGUACAGCACAUGUGUUGAACACUUUCCAUUAUCCCAGGAUUCUUGGCUAACCUCCCUGGAGAGCCUCAGGAAACAUCAUGAUAAGAUAGUCAUUUUGCUAAGAGCAUUUUUGAUUAGUGUCAUUUCUGCCCAGCUUGUCUCCUUCAUAAGAUUGAAUCAAGAGCUACUUUGUUUUAAACAUGAUCUAUGGGAUAUGAAGGACUGUGAAUAACAAAGUAUUGGUGUAUUCAUAAGAUAAUAAAGAGAAGCCCAGUACCAGAGGGCCCUUGUGGCGUAACAGAAACAGCACAGACUCUGGAGUAAGGCAGAACUGGGUAUGAACACCCCCUUUGCCAUUUUCUAGCUUUUGGCUUCUAGGUGAGUUAUUUCAUCUUUCUUGAGCCCCAUUAUAUGUAUUGGUGAGGAAGCUCCCUGCUGGGUGCCAUUUGAGAGUUAGAGAUAAGACAUGUAUUACAGUCUCUGUCCCACUGUGUGCAUGUAGUAAAUAUUGGGUAGGUGAAUGAAUGAGUGAAUGGUAGCAAUUAUUACACUUACUUCUAUUGUUAAAAUGUAUUUGACUCACUAAAACAUAAAUCUGAACCCUGUCAGAAAUUCAUGAAAAUCCUUAUCUCACUUUUCCCUUGCUCUCUGUGAGGUAAAGUAUUAAAAUCUCAUGCUUAAAUUUUCUCUAGGCAUUUGGAGUAUUAGAAAAACUUUCCAGUUAUCUUCCCUAUGUCAAAUUUCAGGACUCGGGACUUAUUGUUAAAUCCUACAUAGGAUGCUAAAAAGAUAUUUCAAAGAAGUACAUAUGCCCCAUUUACCAACUUUCAAGCACCUUUAUUUUAUUUUUGCAGACUUCGAAGCUCAAAGCUUUUCCUUUUCCUUAGACCCCAGGUUAAUGUAUAAAUGUUCCCUUAUUUCUACUUUCUCAUCUACCAUCUACUUUAUUGCAAAAAAAUAGUUCUGUUUUGUUCACCAGAAGGCUGAAAAGGAAGACUCUUGUGAACUGUUUCUGUGGUUUCUGAAUAAAGUAGAGAACUUGGAUUAACUAAGCCCUUUCCCUGUGCUAUAAGCUUUAACCGACCUUAUCUCAGUCAAUCAGCCCAACAGCUUGUGAAGCAGGGGAUGAGUUUCAUAGAGAGAAACUGGGGCUUACAGAAUUCAGUGUCUUAGUCCAGUGUCCAGCCUGGAAGUGGAGAGGCUGGGAGGGGUCCCAGUUCUGCACUCUGGAGCCUGAGUCUUUCACUCUUGUGGGCAGCGCAAGAAUCAUGCAGUGUCAAAUGGUGCACCUCUCUCUCCUCUCCCUGUCUCUGUCUGUCUGUCUCUUUCUCUUCCUUUUUAGAAAGAGCUUAAUUCCCGAGAUGGAGCUUGGGAAAGAAUAUGUGGCGAGAGGGACCCUUUCAUCCUAUGCAGCUUGAUGUGGUCUUGGGUGGAGCAACUGAAGGAGCCUGUAAUCACCAAAGAGGAUGUGGACAUGUUGGUUGACAGGCGAGCAGAUGCCACAGAAGCACUUUUUUUAUUAGAGAAGGGACAGCACCAGACUAUUCUCUGCGUGUUGCACUGCGUAGUGAACCUGCAGACAAUUCCCGUGGAUGUGGAGGAAGCUUUCCUUGCCCAUGCCAUUAAGGCAUUCACUAAGGUUAAUUUUGAUUCUGAAAAUGGACCAACAGUUUACAACACCCUGAAGAAAAUAUUUAAGCACACGCUGGAAGAAAAAAGAAAAA
rnacentral:sRNA from 1 species